GAUGAAGAACGCAGCGAAAUGCGAUACGUAAUGUGAAUUGCAGAAUUCAGUGAAUCAUCGAAUCUUUGAACGCACAUUGCACUCCUUGGUAUUCCGAGGAGUAUGCCUGUUUCAGUAUCAUGAGCACACUCACAUCUAACCUUUGGGUUAAAAUGUGGAAUUGGGAUGCGCCGGUUAUUAUAACGGCCCUCCUAAAAUUCAGUUCUUGGCUGCUUCCUACUACAGCAGUUUGGCCUAAUAGUUUUGAGUCUUCGAUUCAAAUCUUUGGCUAACAUUUGCUUCAGGAUGUCAGUCUUGAUAUACAGAAAUCUCAUUCAAACUUUGAUCUGAAAUCAGGUAGGGCUACCCGCUGAACUUAAGCAUAUCAAUAAGCGGAGGA
rnacentral:misc_RNA from 1 species